rnacentral:misc_RNA from 1 species
GAUGAAGAACGUAGCAAAAUGCGAUAAGUAAUGUGAAUUGCAGAAUUCAGUGAGUCAUCGAAUCUUUGAACGCACAUUGCGCCCGCUGGUAUUCCGGCGGGCAUGCCUGUUCGAGCGUCAUUUCAACCCUCAAGCCCCCGGGUUUGGUGUUGGGGAUCGGCUCUGCCCUUCUGGGCGGUGCCGCCCCCGAAAUACAUUGGCGGUCUCGCUGCAGCCUCCAUUGCGUAGUAGCUAACACCUCGCAACUGGAACGCGGCGCGGCCAUGCCGUAAAACCCCAACUUCUGAAUGUUGACCUCGGAUCAGGUAGGAAUACCCGCUGAACUUAAGCAUAUCAAUAAGCGGAGGA